rnacentral:rRNA from 1 species
UGCCAGCCGCCGCGGUAAUACGGAGGAUACGAGCGUUAUCCGGAUUUAUUGGGUUUAAAGGGUGCGUAGGUGGCGAAUUAAGUCAGUGGUGAAAAGCUGCAGCUCAACUGUAGUCUUGCCGUUGAAACUGGUUUGCUUGAGAGGAGACGAGGUAUGUGGAAUGUGUGGUGUAGCGGUGAAAUGCAUAGAUAUCACACAGAACGCCGAUUGCGAAGGCAGCGUACCAGGCUCUAUCUGACACUGAAGCACGAAAGCGUGGGUAUCAAACAGGAUUAGAUA